GUUUAUUUCCUUUAUCUUUUCUACAGUUACUUCAUUUCCAUUCUGGCCAAGUGGUUAAGGCAAUGGACUAGAAAUCAAUAGGGGUCUCCCUUCACAGGUGCAAAUCCUGUCAACUGUGGUGAAAGCUGCACUUUUCUCUCCCCACUUCCAGGCUGUCCUUUUUUUUCUGAGGGUAGGAAGACCCUUCAAGGGGAUCUGGACACACUGGAUCACUGGGCUGAGGCCAAUGGGAUGAAGUUCAACAAGACCAAGUAUAACUUGUUACAACAAUCCCAUGCAAUGCUACAGACUUGGGACAGAGUGGUUGAAAGACUGUGUGGAAGAAAUGGACCUAGGGGUGUUGUUUGAAACUUGGCUGAACAUGAGCCAGCAGUGUGCCCAUGCAACCACAAAGGCCAGUGGCAUCCUGACCUGCAUAAGCUCUCCUCUGGAUGUGCUCCAACAAGCCUAUGUCUCUCCUGUACUGAGGACUCCGUAUCUGGAUUUAGAACUCCAGCUGAGGUCUCACCAGCACAGAGUAGAGGGACAGAAUCAUCUCCCUCAACCUUCUUGUUUUGAUGCAGAGUUUUCAGCACAUAUGUAAAAGUUGCUCAAGCAAACUGACCUAGAAAGAAAAGAGAGUCCAAGGUGGUUACUGGUGUUUCUACUUUGUCCAAGAUGUCAAGAAAAGCUAUGGGAACAAACAAAAUCAGAAGAAAAGUGAAAGUACAAAUCAGAUAUUUAUGUGUAGGUCAUUCAUUGCUUUAUAAAAAUACAAUAAUGUAAAAUUCCUUGAACACUGAUGAUAAGCAUAACUAAUAUGAAUGUGGUUAUUGAUGAUGGAAAAUGAAACAUCCAAUUAUAGUGCUAAACCCAACGGUAUCAUUUCUUUAUGACAGAGAGACUAGAUACUUACUCAUUACUAAACUCUGAGAGAAUUGCUAGGUAAGAUAUGUCCAUUAAUGCAACAAAAUAAAAAAUGGCUCAUGUUUACGGUCAAACAGAAAAACGUAUUAGCUACAUUACAUA
ensembl:lncRNA